UUGGAGAAAGAAAAAUUACCCUCGAUGCACAAGACAUAAGCAGGAUAGAAGAAUUGUAUGGUAAAUGCAACUGAUCGAUCGAUCAUAUAUCAGAAUUGGCUCAACAUCUUUUGAUGUUCAUCUGCUUUUAUAUUAUAUAUAUAUAUAUAUAUUUGGCAAAUAAAAGAUGAAUAAACUCAUCUAUUAAUUACUUAAUUCUAUGUGUUUCCAAAUAUUAUCAAUCUUGAUAAAAUAAGGGAUGAAUAUAUAAAAUCAUCGGCUUUCUAUAUAUAUUUUGCAAAUAUCAUUUAAUUUACAACCAAUAAUUAUGGAGGAUGAAUGAUAAUAUUGAUCUUUUUAUACAUCAAAUAAAUUUUUUAUAUUGAUUACAUAUAUUUUUCAAACUAUAUAUAUUUAAGAGUUUCAUAUAUUACAUGUCAGAUAAAAAUGAGACAGAAUUUCUAAUAAAAUUUCUAAAAUCUUAAAAUUCGAGUCUAACUAACUGUAUAAUUUUUCAAUACGACUUAUCAGUAAUAUCACAUAUAAGUAAAUAGAUUUUUUUUUAAAUUUUCCCAUAAUAUAACACGUUAUGAUAAAAAUUUAAAUUUUUUUUUUAAAUAUAAAAUUUUAAAAAAAGUAGAUAAUAAUUUAAAUUAUUUUUGUAUGUAAUUAUAAAUUCUGCCAUACCUUCAUUUUUUUUCAGGUUAAAUCUUGAGUUGAGGUUAGAUCCUAUUUUUCAAAAACUAUUUUGCAUCUCAAUUCUCAAUCGUUUGAAUUUUCAUCAAGAUGAAAUGAAAAACAAAUAGUUUUAAUAUAGUUUGAGGCUUUAGGUAGGUCGGAUGGGAACGAAAAUCAUCACGGAGGAGGCAGUCUUGCACAAUCUCAUCCCCAGACCCAUUUCACCCCUAUUUUGAAGAAAUCGUUUUCAUUUAAAAACAAAUCGUUAUUUUUUUAGAAAAAAUUAUUUAUAUCAAACGUUUAUUUAUAUCAUUUCUCCAAUGAGAAAUUCAAAUUCAAAUUCAAAUUCAAAUUCAAAUUCAAAAUCAAAUUCAAAUUCAAAAUCAAAUUCUAUUUUCUCGAUUACAAAAUUCAAAAUAUAAAUUAUAAAAUCUUGUCUGUAGUUUGUUUGUUAAAUUAAGACAACAAUGAAUAAAUAUGAAACAGCACUUCACAUUGAUGAGGUGUAAGCAUGACAUGAACCAUUCAUAUACCUAAGACCACUCAAAUAGUGAGAGUUGAGCUCUGGGAGAAUAAGGAUAAUUGUUAAAUCUAACCACCUAAGAUUGGUUAGGAGUUAAAACUACCCACCUAUAAAUUUUAUGACCAUUUUACCCUUACUUUUUUUUAAAAUUUUCUUUCACAUGCUAUUGUCGGGCAGAAAAAGAACCCACCCAUCAAUCGUCCCCCCACCUCCCAUACUUCUAUUCUGGCGUCGUCCUUCCUCCUCCAUAUUCUCCUCCAGAUAGCAGGUACGGAAGUAUGGGUCGUCCUUCCUCAUCAAUAGUCGGUUGUAUUCCCCCCUUCAUCCAACCAUAUUUUUUACAUACAUCUUCUAUCAAGUUCCAUUUUUUUUACCGCCGACCUCCAAUUUAUCACCUCCGACCACUAAUUUUCAACCGAUUGACAAUGCCUCCAUAUUCUCCUUCAUCAGUGCUACUAUUUGACGGGCAAGGAGAGAGUCCUUUUUCAUCGCCGGUUCCUCCUCCUUCAUUGUCGGUUCACGACGUCGAUGAUCGGUUCGAUCCUAUUGGACUCCCGACCUUCUGGGAGGACAUUGAGGAAGUUCGGGGACUGUCGGACGAUGGAGUUCGUCAAGAAGAAGGUAAAAAAUUUGUAAUUUUUUCAAAUCGCGAGAAAUAAAUCUUGGACAGUUGCGAUGAAUCGCGAGAAAUAAAUCCUGAACACAAUUCACAACUGUGUUCUAUGCAGUCUAUUGUAUCAACUUUCUGCAAUUUGAAGACUGGACAAGGCUUCUGCUGCUUUCAGAUCAAUUGAGAAUUCAGUGCCCUGUUCAUCAUGAACAGUUUCUCCUAAAUUACUUGUGGAUGGAGUCAUGUACACCAGAUUGGGAUCAUGCCUUGUUUCAUCAUGUACACUAGAUUGGGAUCUAAUCCCCAAUCAUUCCGAUCUGUGUGGCAUUAUAAUGCUAUUCCCUCCAGGAUAAUCAUCCCACUCUUCAUCUCCAAGAACAUUUAAAGCAACUGAUUCAGCAAUCGCAGCCCCUUCUUCAUCAAGUCGUUGUUGUUCUUCUCUUUUCAUCUGCUUCUUUUUUUCCAGUUCAGUAAUUACGGCAGCUGAAGUUGCAAGUGCUUUCUCUAGUCUCCUCUUUUUCUUCUCUGUCUGCUUCAUGCGCUCCAUUUCAUCUUUUGCUUUCUUCUUUUUAUCUUUCUUUGAAAUGGAACUUGUAACUUGACAAACUCCAAUCUUCUCCAUCUAAUUCCAACUUCACUAAAACUUAGUUAAUAUUUAGAAAGUAAAGCUAAUCAGUGUUUUAGACACGUGACCACGCCCAUUCAGAUCUAAAAAGUAAAGCUAAUCAUAUGUGUCCUGCUCUGAAAGAAAACAGAAGCAUCAUCAACCAGCUGUAAUGCUGCAUUGAUUGCAAAUCAAAUAAACUGCAGGUGUGAAGUAUGAACAACAAAACAAGAGAAAAUCAUACUGAAUAAACAAUCAAAAUAAAAGCAAAAUGUUUUAACUUUCUGCACACUCCACACUUGGUAGUGAAGCUGAGAUUUCAAGAAAUUCGAGUUGAUUCCCAGGAAUUUUACAUUGUUUCAAACUUUUAAUUGAUUUGUACAAUUAUUAGGAAGAUAAGGUAUUUGUUAGUGUUAUCAAAAUGUUAUUUUUUUAGUUUAAUACAAAAUUUACAUUUGAUGGUAAAACUGAGAUUCAUAGAAAUCUUAAUUGAUUCCUAGGAUCUUGACAUUGUUCUGGAUUUUUGGUUGAUGAGUACAAUUAUUGGGAAGAUACGGGAUUUCUAAAAUAUCUAAAAAUAUCAUUUUUUUAGUUGAGUACAAAAUCUACAUUUGAUAGUAAAACUGAGAUUCCUAGAAAUCAUGAUUGUUUCCUAGGAAUAUGAUAUCAUUCCAGCGUAUAAUCCCAGAGAUUCACAGCUUAUAUUAACAAAAUCAUUCACAUUUAUCAUCAAGAAUUCCCAAAUAUUUGAUGCAUACAAUUGAAAUGGGAAACAACCAUUUUUAUUAAAAAAAAUACUAUUACGCUCUAUUACUAAACUCAAUGGGUUUUCUUAGUUCGUCAAACAUUGUCCGAGUUUCGUCCAUCCGACCUAGCUUACAAAGCAUCCUCUGCUUGUUGAGACGACUGCUGCAGGUUACAUAUGCCGAGAAGCUGCUGCUCUGUUAAUGGCUCGAGCUGAUUUGCAAGAAGCUGCAAUCAAUUCAAAAAAACUGAUAUCAACUGAUGCAAACCCGUCAAAUUUAAUAAUUAAUUGUUCAUCAAAAGGCAAUAGCAAAUGAAAUUCAAGAUGCAAUCUUUAGUUCGAAUGAAGGAAUAACAGCCAAAAAGGUCAGACUUAAAUUAUAAAUAUUUUUAUACUCCAUCAAAAUUCUAACUCCAAUAUGAAACCAAAUUUAGGAAUGGCAGACUAUUAAUUGAAAUUCAAAUAUAAAGACAGCCUAAAAUAGAAAGUACAACUCCCAAUUUAGUCAAUAGUAUAAAAAAUCUCAUUUUAUAUCAUAAUGAAUGGUUUGCAUAUGGUAUACACAUAUAAGAUAACAGAAAUUAUAAAAGGAAGCUCCAGUCGAUAUUAUAAUAUUUUUGCCAUCGAUGAGAGUAAUCAGGAUUCUGUUUUUAAGGAAAAUAUUUUUAAAGUAAUCAACAAAAAAAUUCGAAGGAGAAGAAGAAUGAUGUUAAUGGCAUCUCGAAAUAAAAAAUAAUAGGGUACACUGUAUGGAGUAUAUACUAUAUAUGAUUACAAUGAGCUUACAGAUUCACGAAUACCCGAAAGUUUAGGAUAAGUUUACAGAUCACAAUGAGCUUACAGAUCACAAUGAGCUUAUCAUAUAUAUACUAUAUAUGAUAAGAAAGGUAGAACACCCGAAAAAAAAAGUUUAGGAUCAACCAUCAUAAACAGUCGGAAUCAAGAAACACCCGGACACACGAAUACCCGAACCAGCACAAAGAACACACGAACGAAUUGAUGAAAAAGUAAGAACAACUGAAUAAGAAUGUAAGAACACCCGAAAGAAAAAACGACGAGAUCAAGAAAAGAAGGAAAAAAAGUGAGGAGCAAACAUUGCAAUGAAAAUCCAAAAAAAACACAGAAAACAAGGAACAGAGACAUAAAUAACAACCAGAGAAUCAGAAAAACCCCAAAAAAGAUGAAUAUAACCUGGAAGAUGAAAAAAAGUAAAAGAAAAAUACAAAAAGAAAAAAAUCGAGAUGAAGACACUACAUGAAGAAAGAACCUGGUUGUUGGAUCGUGAAGAAUAGAACAGAGGAAUACGAACAGAGGAUUAGGAGAAACCCAAGAAAAGAAAAUGACAACAGCCGGAUGUCAGAAAGAAAAAAUAUAGAAGAUUCCACCAUAUGACCGGAACAAGAGUGCUAGAGCACCGGAAAACAAGAACAACAACACAAAACUAAUAAUCCAACUUACAAAAACUGGAAACGAAGAGAAAUGAUAGAACAUUUAGGUUACCAAGGUUAUGGAGGGGGUUUAAAUGUUGGUGAGGUUUUGAUGUUGAUAAGGAUUUGAGGUUAACGGAGAUUAUGGUGGGGGUUUGACGGUAUGGAAGGUUGAAGAAGGCAGAAGAAGGGGGUGGAAGUGGGUUCUCCGGUAAUUGACAUCACAGAUUCUCUGAGUAGACCAUGACUUUUGACGGUGGACACUGCAGAUAAGAGAUGGGAGAAGUUGACGAUGAUCUUGAUCGAAGAUAGCCGGCCGACGAUGAACACGUAGAGGAGUAGAGGAAGAAAUCGAGUAUGAGAGAUGUGGAGAAGCUGGAAUGUUGGUUGGAGGAAGGAUGGAAUCGAUAGAUGGAUUUGAGUUAGGUUUUUGAGAAUUUUGGAAUCGAUAGAUGGAUUUAACGGGUAAACGGGCAUGAGUAUAACCCACACAAUUUACUAAUAAGGGGCAAAUUAGGAAAUUUUAUACACUAACACACCCUAACCACCUAACACCUAGGCUUGGUGGGUAGUUUUGACCACCAAGCCAUCUUAGGUGACUAGUUUUAACACUUACCCGGAGAAUAAUGGUGUGGGGAAUGCCAAAUGUGGUGUUUUCUUUAUUAUGCUCGAUUUCAGAUACCACCGAAGAGGAAUCAGAUUUUGUAGAAAAGGAACUUAGGGCAACGUUGAGCCCAACUGAGUUAGAAUCAGGUGUGAAGCUGCAGAAAAUCACCAUUAACAUCAUUCAUAUACAAAUAAAUAAAUAAAUAAAUAAAUAGAAUACCAUGAUUCAAAGUUCGUGCCACGUGAAAUCAUCACUGAACAAAAUCUGGAUAUAAUCCAAGGAGGUAGAGUUACUGUGGCAAAUAGAAUUUGGCAAUACUGUGUCAGACAUGGUAACUGCAUCAGAUCCAAAAUCAGCUUUUUUCAUUUCCUUGCAUAUCACCUGCAUAACAAAUUAACAACACAAAUCAUCUUUAGAAAAUAUCACGAGUCGCAGACAAAAUAAACUAGCAUUCAUCAACUUCAAAAUCGUAUUUAGGCUAGAUCAAAGAGCAAAUAACAACAUAUUUGUCAAAAAACAUGUUAAUAUGUAACAAUUCACUGUACCAAAUACCAAUUUACCAAGUGGUGGUUCAUUUGAGUAUUUAAAAUCACCAUUGUAAAAUCAUAAUUUACCUAAUUGUAAAAAGAAUUCAACAACGAUAUAUUAAUGUACUUAUAUAAUUAUAUAUAUAUAGGGUCCGCAUCUGGAACGAUUUGGAAAGCGCUCCUUCAGGAGCGCUUUUCCGCUUUAUGCUAUUAAAGCGACGCUUAAAGCGUCGCUUUUUAAUCUAUGCAACAGAUGGUCCAUGUUAUCUGAUAGAGAAGACGAGUACGUUUACGAGGACAGCAGCUCACACUCAGACAAGCACCAUGGGGAAAGUGACAAGUCCAAGGAGCACAGCUGGGAGGAUGUGAACAAGUUAUCUUCUGACUCUGACAGCUCAGUGGAUCAGCAACUGGUAAAAUCUUUCAAUUUAAUAGGCCAAGAAGGUGAGAAGGAUGUGACUAGCCCAAACAGGUCAAAAGAAGGCUCCACAAACAGAGAGAGCCAAAACCAAACCCAAAAUAUAAAAAGAAGGCUCCACACCUUUUUACUAUAAAAAGAGAUGUAGCAAAAAACAAAAGAAAAAAGCCUCAAGAGAAAAAAUAAAAACAAGGAGAGCACUACCUUGUGUUAUGAUCUACACAUAACCCAUGUUGGACAAAUCCUGCAGUUAAAUUAAGGCAAACAAACAAGGCACAAAGGAGGAAAGACAGAAUGCUACUUAGGGUUGGUCUCAAGACCAUGAGCAAGGUGCGGACAGUUCCGCACUGGGGAACAAGUAGCCACCUAAGACCCAACAAAACUAGGAAAGCCAGCCCCCAAUGGCUUUCCUAAUAUGGAACGUUAGGGGAUUUAACCUUACAGAAAUGCAUACAUAGGUUAAAAAAUUAAUAAACUAUAAGGAGAUCGAAAUUUUUUCAGUAUUAGAAACAAAAAUCAGGCCAAAUAAGGUCAGGCAAUAAAAGAUGCCUUUUGCCCUGAAUGGGACUCGCACAACAAUGGUGAUCCCAACCAGACAUUGAGUGCCGACUCAAUAUGAACUUUCUGGAGGAAAAACUUAUGGUCAGUAGACAUCCUAAAAACACACCAACAAUAUAUGCAUCUGAGAUUAAAAACUACCAUCGGAUUAGAAUUACUCUACACACCAGUCUAUGGGAAAAUUAACAGAGAGGAAAGGAAAACCCUAUGGAAUGGAAUCCAACAGAUAGGACCCAUAACUACUUUGCCUUGGCUAAUAGGGGGGAUUUUAAUGAAAUUAGGUUUCCAGAACAAAGAGCAGGGAGAGGGGUAUAUUCACAUGGGGGCCCAUCUGAAUUCAUUGACUCCACAAAUAUGACACACUUGUUGGAAGUCCCAUCCAUAGGGAGAGAGUUCACAUGGACAAACAACUCCCCGGGGCCAAACUUCAUACAAUCCAAAAUCGAUAGAGUUUUUACAAAUCAGAUAUGGAUAAAGAAAUGGCCAGAGGCUAGGGUUGAAUUUUUUUUUUUUGAGAAAUUAAAACUUUCAUUACUGAAAAGAGGUUGGGCAUGGCCCAAGAUUACAGAAUAAUAUAGGGAAAUGCAAGUACAGUAAAUGUAAAAAUAUUGUCUAUCUCUUAUGCAGCUAUGACCUUGACUAACUGGCCAAGGAUUGAAGCCUCAAGAGGUUGAACUCCCAUGAGCGUAUAGCUUGUAUUUCAAUCUGUGAAAGAUUGUGUUUCUUAUAGGAUGUAGAAUCAUAUGUAAUGCUCACAUCCUUUAUAAUUUCACAAUGGCACAAGUGAUCAUAAAGCCAUGAUCAUCACCCUAUCACAAGUAGAGAAAGGAGCAAAGCCUUUCAGACUAUACAACUCAUGGCUAAAGGAGGAAACUUUCUGUGGGAUAGUAAGAGAGGAGUUAAAGAAAACCACCAGAGGCACAAGCUUAUUUAGGCUGCAAUAUAGGCUUAAGCAGCAAAAACUAGGAUUAAGCAAUGGACUGCAGAAAAAGGGAAUUCUGCAAAACUAGCACUAGAGGUAGGGAAAAAAUUAAACACUAUUUCCACCCUAGAGAAAGACCCAAGCUUUGUUCAACUACAAACCAAAAGUGUAGAACUGAGGAAGGACCUCAAAAUACUACUUCUCAGAGAAGAAGCAGACUUAAAACAAAGGAGCAAGGUCUCCUGGCUAAAGGAAGGUGACAAAAACACUAGAUUUUUCAGCAUUGCCACAAAAGAGAGAAAAUCAAAAAACUCCACCCUUAAAGUACUAAAUAGGGAAGGGAAUCAAAAUAUAACAAGGACCCAACUUGAAAAUAAUAGUAUGGCCUACUUUAAAAAUUUAUUCAAAAAAGAGAACUCUCCACACCCAGACAUUCCAACCAUGUUUCCAAGAAUAGUAACCACUGAGAUGAAUGAUUGGAUAACACAACUCCCCCUGGAGGAGGAGGUAAGGGAGGUGCCUUUUGCCUUUAACAAAAACAAGUCACCAGGCCCAGAUGGUUUUACCUCUGAAUUCUUUAAGAAAUUCUAGAAUGAAUUUAAAAGGAACAUAAUGGAUUGUGUAACACAAUUUUUCAAAGGAAAUUUUUUACUAAGGACCACAAACCAUACCUUCCUAACCCUUAUCCCAAAAUCCAACACUACAUCUGAAAUGGGAUAAAUAAAGUCCUGCCACAACUCAUAUCACCAAACCAGACAACUUUUAUAAAUGGUAAGUUAAUAUCAGAUAACACACUGUUGGUAGAUGAAAUGCUCUAUGGGUAUGGUAGGAAAAAACCCCCAAAAGAUGCUGUAUAAGCAUCGACCUCAGGAAAGCAUUUGACACAAUCAAAUGGGAGGCCAUAAUAGACACACUAAGAGCCUAUGGUUUCUCCUCUCAUCUAUGUAAGAUAAUAUGGAAUUGUAUCUCCACUGCAUCUUUUUCAGUGCUAGUUGAGGGCAUAGUCUUUAAGCGACAAAACGGUCCUCCAGGACCGCUUUUUUUAGCGGGUACUCUGGUCGGGUUAUUGGGUUGGGGCAACCCAUUACCCAUGUGAAAUAACUUAAACUAUUUUUAUUUCCCUUCCUACCCCUCAAAUUUCUAUCUAACUAUAUAAACCCAAUACCCUUCUAAUAAAACCCUAAUUUCCUUUAUCACUCUCACUUUUAUUUCUUACAAAACCCUAAAGCCGCCGGCAAACCUCGUCGGAGUCGCCGCCUGACCUAGUUUUUCUCCUCCGAUCUUCACGUCUACUAGUGGUAUGAAUGUUCUCAACUUUUCCAUCAAUUUCUUUACUUGUAGACCGUCUGAAAAGGGAUAAAAAGAUGGCUGGAAUCCGGGCUGUUUUGGCCGGAUUCCGGCCAUCCUCGAAUUUUUUAUUUAGUUAUUUUUUGUUUAUAUAUAUUUUAUGUUUUAUGAUUUUAUCAUAUAUUUACAGGUUUAAAAAAUAUAUAUAUAAACAGGGGGUAUAUAUGCAAUUUUUAAAAAAAUUACAAUUAUUUACAAUAAUGCCACUAACGCUUUUUCAGCUUUAAGCGCGCUAAAGCGCUCAAAGCUGAAAAAGCGGACCCUGAAAAAGCUGACCGCUUUUCCGCUUUUUGAACUAUGGUUGAGGGCACACCCACCCCACUUUUUAAAAAUCAAAUAGGAAUAAGGCAAGGAGACCCUCUAUCCCCAAUCCUAUUUGACAUAGUCAUGGAUGUACUAAGCAGACUACUAGAAAGAGAGGUUAUGGCAAAGAAAAUAGACACUUAUAAGAUCAACGGAGCAACCUCUAUAUCACACCUAAUAUAUGCAGACGAUUUUCUAAUAUUCUCAAAAGCAAAUAGGAAAUCCCUAAAUGCAAUAAAGAGGACCCUAGAGAAAUUUUCCUCCUUCUCUGGACUAGAUGUUAAUGUUGAAAAGAGUUCAAUGACAUUAUCCAAGGUUUGUGCACAAGACCAAAUACUCCUAGGUAUCCUUGAUUUUCCUACCAAAACCCUCCCUCUCACAUACUUAGGACUCCCAAUAACAGGGAAGAAAAAAUUCUACAAUCAAUGCUGGAAGUUGAUACAACCCAUAGAAAAUAUGUUGGCCAAGUGGAGUGGGAAAUGUCUCUCCUAUGGAGGAAGAAUACAACUAGUAAAUUGGAUUCUUGCAGGAAAAUACACAUACUGGGCCCAAGGCAUAGUCUUACCAGAAUCAGUCAUAAGGAAAAUAAGAAAGCUACCCUACAACUUCAUAUGGGAUGGAAGAAAAGGAAUACCAUGGAAACAAAUGAUCCUCCCCAAAGCAGAGGGAGGAUUGGGAGUAAGAAACCUAGAUAUCAUAGUUCCAGCCAUAAUCAUUAAAAGGAUUGCAAAUUUCUGGACAAAAUCAGACUCAAUCCUGAAUACAUGGAUCCAAGGGAGAUACGUAAAGGGAAGGGCCCUUACAAACAUUCAGAUCAAAAACUCUAUCGACUCUCAUGCCUGGAAAUUUAUAAUGGGAGAUACCCCUAAGGCUCUCACACUAAUAGAGUGUGGACCAAAUUACACAGUGCUCUGGAAAAGAGGAAACCCAAACAAGAAGCUUGCAAAAAUAGGUGAGAAAAUUAGAGAUAAAAACCAUAAAGACACUCUAGCUGAAGGAAUAUGGGCCAACAAACCCACAAAAUUCUCUAUAUUUCUAUGGAGAAUAAAAUGGGGACACCUAAAUACCUUUACUAGGCUAAAUGGAUGGGGCAUGCUCAUCCCACCCACCUGUCUAUUAUGCAACUUAGAAAAUGAAACCAGAGGACACCUUUUUUCAACUGCAGCUACUCUAGAGCCAUCCUUUUACCCCUAGUUGAAAAAUUAAAUAAUAUUAUCUGGAAAAUCAUGAACAUCCCCACACCCACGAUCACAUACCCAAACAUCAAAAUAGGAGACCAAAUUGAGCCAUGUCAAAAGCUAACACAUCACAUAUGGGCUGAAAGAAACAGAAGAUGGCAGCAACAUUCUCUCAGACCACCGGAAACGGUUCUUAAGGAGGUUUUAAAUGACUUCAACAACUCCUUUAGGCCAGAGAGCUUUAAAAAGAGUUGUUGUCACCCUUUGAGACCUAGCACAAUAUAGAUAUGAGAGACCAACCUCCGGAGGCAGAUAGCCUAGCUUCUAUACUAGGAUAUGGUCUAGUGAAACAUUUCAUAAAACCCCCUUUAGUUUUUAUAUUUCAUAAAAAAAUUGCCCUUCAUUUGUGAUUACAAUAGAUAGGAAUAGUAAGACAGCACAGAAAAAUCAGAUCAACUAGUCUAAGUAAUUAUUAAAAAAUUUAAAAGUUUAGGGUUCUAAUCUUGUUGUGUUCGUAAUAACAUGCUCUCGAGCCUUUUAGGUUGACCGGACUGGGCAUGUUCAUAUGAGAUCUUUGGAUUUUAUGGGCACAUGCUCUCCUAGUCGGAUUUUACUCCGAUAUACUCCUAGCCCAAGUUGAUUGUAUUGUUUGUUUACUUUUUCAACAUGGAGAUUCAGAUGAGAUAGUUUAAGAUAAUUAAAUUUUAUUCAUCUAAUGAAAGAUUACUUGAUUUGUACUAUAAAUCAAUUAAAAAAUACAACUGACGUAUUCUUAAUCAACGAUGAGAUUGUAAAUAUCUCACAAACUAUCUCAUAUUUAAUAUUUCAUCUGAAUCGAUUCUUAAUUAUAUAUUUUUCAUCAUGAAACACUUAAUUGGGUCUUUCUUAAAAUGAUUCAAUAACUACUAAAAAAAAUUAUAUAUUCCUAGCUGGAUUAAUGAAAUGAAAUUAGGUUUGGUUCACAACUGCUUUAAAAAAAGUGAUUAAAUCUUUGAAUCUUUGAAAUAUUCUUAGCUUUCUAUAUCCUAUUCAUGAAGUUCAUCGGAUAUGCACGAAUUGCCCUGUAUUAGACGAUACAAGACUGUCGCUUUCCGAGUUUCCGGUGCAUUGUUUCCAACAAAGCUUUCUAGUUUCCGGUACUUUAUUCUAAUAUAUUCUCAAUGACCCAUGCUCAAUAAUUUAAGUCUUUAGCUAUUCAUAGUUUUAAUUCCUAUCUUCAAUUAAAUUUUGAGUAUAGAUUAAUCAAUUCUUUCUUCAAUCUUCCAUAAAAUAAAAGUGUUGUUUGAUUAUCCAAACCAGAAGCAAUUGAUUAGGAAACCAAUGGAUCAUUAUUCAUUAAUCCCCUAAAUUAAAGUUGCACUUAAUUAACUUGAUUGCCAAAUUGGCCAUCAAUGGAAGCAAACUUGAUUGCUUCCACCUAUCAUUUUUAGCAAGCUAUCAAGCUAGCUAGCUUACUUUAUUUGACUAUGAAUUAAAUGAAUGAACGAAUCAAUCAAUCAAAAUUCAAAUCCAUAAUAAAAUUUUGAGUUUUCAAAUGUUGUCUAUCUUAGUAAAAACCUAAUUUUCCUAUAUGUAACUAAUUAUGAACCACUUUAAGAGGUCGAGAACAAGUCAUUGCUCACUUAGUUGACAAGUUUAAGAGUUGAUUGAGAACAAGUCAUUGACCACAUUUAAAAACCUACAAAAGAAGGUAAUCAAAAUUGAAAACUUCUAUGCAAAACAGUUUCAGACUAAAUUGAGUCCCCAAAAAGAGUCAUUUUAACCAAUAUCGUCGACCCACACGAAGGUAACUGACCACUAAGUCGACAAUAGCCAAAAUCGGACCUAUAAAUAAACCUGUCCAUUUGAGUCAUUGUCCAUUUGAAAAAUAUAUAACAUAAAAGAUCAUAAAUAUUAAUGUAUAAUCUUAAUUCUCAAGAUUGGAUAACCAUGUUUUUAUCCAUUUGAUAAGACGUGAACGGUUAGGAUUUAAUAUCGGAUGAAUUAAUUUAACUUUAAUGUAUUGUUUAGAGACAUACAGUUUCAGGUGCGGUUCGAAACUGCAUGCAGCCCAUCUUCUUCAUCCGACAGCGGAGGUGAGGAACAACAUCUCACCUCCGUCAAGAACCGUAGUGGUUCCGUCGUGGAUCCGAUGUGGUUCCAAAUUCCAAUAUGGGGUUCCUUCGUGGUUCCGAUGUAGUCUGCGAUUUCAUUUCUGAUGCAGUUCCGAUGCCCGGAGGACCAGAAAUGCUUCCUAUUUUAAUAUUCUAACAAAUAUAUGGUAUCAAAUUUUUUAUUAGCUUUUGAAUUUACUCUCCGAUUCAAAAAAAUAUAUAUAAAAUCAAUUUUAUUUCAACAUUUGCUGUUGCCUGAUACCCUUCGCAUCCACUUUUGUUGAAAGCUGGUAAGCUGGCAAGAACGGGGCAGGUCGAGGGCGGGACGGCCCCACCCCGUUCUGGGGGAACGGGUCGGGCACCCUACCUUCCUACUCGAGACCCACCCCGGGCCCGGUGAUCGGGCCGCGGAACGGAUCCAGGGCUACCGGUCCGGAAUUAUAAAAAUUAAAAUAAAUUUAUAUAAAAAAAUCUAAAAUUAAAAAUGGGUAAACUUUUUAGUUUUUACCUUGAUUUUUAAAAAAUUUAAUAAUCAUAUAUCUAAUAUAAUAUAAUUUAAAUUAAUAAUAAAAAACGCCUGAGACCCGCCCAGUUCUCACCCUUAAUAACUACUAUGUCUACAUAAAUCGAGAAUAGAUAAAAGGCACACUUGCUGAAAAUCAACCAAAAACGUUUGAUCAUUAAUAAACACAUGUAUGCAAAAGCAAUAGGGGGAAAUGAGAAAAUUCCUCUGCAUGGGGGAAAACCAUCUCUCCUUCAAACUUCAACGAUCAAACAAACACAACCCGACAAAAAUUACACAUACAGGACAGGAAAAAAAAACAAAGAAAAGAAAUGACCGAGAAUGAAGAUUGGAAUCGACCUUGUUACCUUUCCUCCUUCGAACACUUUCUCCUCUGGCUCGUCCGCGUCUUCCCGUGCGGCACUGCCACCGGGAGAUGCGAGAUCAGACGAAUGAUCGUUCUUCGAUUUGGAGAUUUGGGUUUCCAGUAAAUUAAAAUAAAGACACGAGCAUACGAAGAAUUUAGGUAUUAAAUUUAGGGAAUUAUUGGGAAAUUAAUUAAGAAGCCCCUACUAAAUUAUUUAUAUAAAAAGGUACAUUUGUAUCAGGUAAGGUUUAGGGUUUAGUGUAUCAGCACCUCUAUGAUCUUAGCCGUCCAAUUUUCGAAUUUGUGGUUUAGAUUUGGUCUUUCCUUGCUUGUUCUGCUAUAUAUGAACAAGAGGGUGAGGUCAGGUCAGGUGAUUAAGCAUUAAUAUUUGAGAGUUCAUAUGGCGUGUUCCGACAACGAUCCUUCGACAGUUGUUCGAAGAAUUAAGUUGGGCACACAAGGUUUAGAGGUGUCGGCUCAAGGGCUAGGUUGCAUGGGGAUGUCGGCUUUCUAUGGUCCAAUGAAGCUAGAAUCAGACAUGAUUAAAGUCAUCCAUCAUGCUGUCUCCAAUGGUAUAACUUUCCUUGAUACUUCUGAUGUCUAUGGUCCAUUCACAAACGAAAUCCUCAUUGGAAAUGCAUCCAAGGACAUUGAGGUUUUGGGAUCAACGAAGGUGGAGAUUGCAACCAUGUUUGGGGUUAGGUUCGUUGAUGGGAGAAGGGAAGUCAGAGGAGAUCCAAAGUACAUUAGGCAAGCAUGUGAAGCAAGUUUGAAAAGAUUGGGUGUCAGUUGUAUUGAUUUGUAUUACCAACAUCGGGUUGACACAACUGUUCCAAUCGAAGUCACUGUAAGUCGAAAUAGUUUUGGAAUAUAUAUGAAUUUCAAUCUCAAAACUUGAUUUUUUUUUUUGGUCCUUCAUUGAUUCAUUCAGAUUAGUGAGCUGAAGAAAUUAGUGGAAGAAGGAAAGAUCAAGUAUAUAGGACUGUCUGAAGCUUCUGCAUCAACAAUCAAAAGGGCACAUAAAAUUCACCCUAUAACCGCAGUGCAACUUGAGUGGUGUCUAUGGUCAAGAGAUGCCGAAGAAGAAAUCAUACCAACUUGCAGGUAGAUAAAAAAAAAGAUAGUGUCAUUUCUUUCUUUGUCUACAAAUUUCAAAGUUUCAGACUUGUCACAAUAAAACAGAGAACUUGGGAUCGGUAUUGUUGCGUAUAGUCCUCUCGGUCGAGGUUUCUUUGGGAAAGGUCCUGAAAUGGUCGAUGAUCUUGAACCUGAAGAUUUCCGCAGAGUACAAAAAAAAAUGUUUUUUAAAGUUAAAUCUCAUCUCUCAUCCAAAAAAAGAUUGUGAUUUUUACAUAUGAUAGUGAUUAUGCUGCAGUUGAUGCCAAGGUUUCAACCUGAUAAUCUAAAGGAAAAUGCAAUCAUCUUCGAACGCAUGAAAGAAAUGGCAACAAGAAAAGGAUGUACACCUUCUCAACUUGCAUUAGCUUGGGUUCAUCAUCAAGGAACUGAUAUUUGUCCCAUUCCUGGCACUACUAAGAUCGAGAACCUAAACCAGAACAUAAGAGCUCUAUCCGUGAAACUCACACCUGAAGAAAUGAGUGAGCUUGAGGCUUAUGCUUCUAAUGAUGCAGUCAAGGGUGAUCGAUAUGCUGCCGGCAUAUCUACUUGGAAGGAGGCCAACACCCCACCAUUAUCUGAAUGGAAAAGUGAAGAAUAACCAUGGUCUUGUGUUCUUUAACUUAGUUUCACUAUUUUCAUAUCAGUAAUUCAGUAUGUAUGCUAAAAAAAACCUUAAACCCUGAAUUCAUCAAGAUAUAAUAAAACGAGAAUUCACCUUUCAUUAGCUUCUUCCUUGACAAUGUUUUCGAGAGCACGAAUUUGAGAGCACGGCAGGGAUUCGAGUGCAGUGAGAAAGAAAAAUUACCCUCGAUGCACAAGACAUAAGCAGGAUAAAAGAAUUGUAUGGUAAAUGCAACUGAUCGAUCGAUCAUAUAUCAGAAUUGGCUCAACAUCUUUUGAUGUUCAUCUGCUUUUAUAUUAUAUAUAUAUAUAUAUUUGGCAAAUAAAAGAUGAAUAAACUCAUCUAUUAAUUACUUAAUUCUAUGUGUUUUCAAAUAUUAUCAAUCUUGAUUAAAU
rnacentral:lncRNA from 1 species